rnacentral:rRNA from 1 species
UACGUAGGGUGCAAGCGUUUGUCCGGGAAUUAUUUGGGGCGUAAAAGAGCUCGUAGGCGGUCUGUCGCGCGGGCUGUGAAAAAACCCCGGGGGGCUCAAACCCCCCGGGGCCCUGCAGUGGAUCGGGGCUGGCUAGAGGCAGGCAGGGGGAGAACGGGAAAUUCCUGGUGUGCGGGUGAAAAUGCGCAGAUAUCAGGAGGAACACCGGUG